rnacentral:rRNA from 1 species
AUUCCGGUUGAUCCCGCCGGAGAUCAUUGCUAUCUGAAUUCGACUAAGCCAUGCAAGUUUUGGGUUAAACCAGAGCAGAAAGCUCAGUAACACGUAGUUAACCUGCCCUUAGGUUUGGUAUAAUCCCGGGAAACUGGGGCUAACGCCUAAUAGAUAAAGGAUACUGGAAUGUUCUUUUAUUGAACUAAGGAUGGGACUGUGGCCGAUUAGUUUGUUGCCAGGGUAAAGUCCUGGUAAGACGAUAAUCGGUACGGGCCUUGAGAGAGGAAGCCCGGAGAUGGAUUCUGAGACAAGAAUCCAGGUCCCACGGGACGCAGCAGGCGCGAAACUUCCGCAAUGCACGCAAGUGUGACGGAGGGAUUCAGAGUGCUUUCCUGAUUUUCGGGGAAGCUUUUGUUAAGUCUAAACAGCUUAUCGAAUAAGGGGUGGGUAAGACGGGUGCCAGCCGCCAUGUUUGUAGCAAGAAUUGCUAUUAACACGGUAAGCGGUAAUACCCGCGCCCCAAGUGAUGAUCACGUUUAUUGGGCUUAGAGCGUUCGUAGCCGGUUUGGAUAGUUCCUAAUGAAAUUCCAUAGCUAACUAUGGAGCUUGUUUGGAAUACUACUAGACUUGAGACCGGGAGAGGCCAAGGGUAUCAUUGGGGUAGGGGUAAAAUCCUAUAAUCCCAAUAAGACCACCUGUGGCGAAGGCGCUUGGCUAGAACGGAUCUGACGGUGAGGGACGAAAGCUAGGGGAGCGAAGGGGAUUAGAUUUGGCUUAAGAAUUUAAACAUCUGAUACAAAUAUAGAUUAGAAUGCCCCGUAAAACUUCAAUUUGUAGAUUACUAGGAAUAAUGCAUGGUGACGGAAAUAUGUCAUAUUCCAGAGUGCAUAUAACGGAUAAAUGUUUAGAUUAUCAUAUCAAAAUAAUACAUCCAUUGUUUAAUGAACUAUUUGGAGUUAAGAUGAAUUUAUUCCACGAUAAAAAUAGAAACUCUUAUUAUAGCCACACAAAGAAAAAAGAUGUAUAUAAAUUUCUAACAGAAAAAUUAAAAUUACCCGAAGGAUCUGUUAGAAAAAAUCUGAAAGUUGAAGAGUUUAUGAAUAAAUGGAAUGAUAAUGAAAAGGCAUUCUAUAUCGCAGGUAUAUUCGAUUCUGAAGGUUAUGUAAGCAAAAGACAAGCAGAAAUUUCAAUCACUAUAACUUCAAAGGAAAUAUUCGAUUUCAUAUCAAAUCAUUUACAUAAAUUAAAUUUCACUCAUUCAAAAAGAAUGAGAAAUAGAAGAAUGAAAACAGAAUAUGAAUUAAGAAUGUAUGGAAAGAAAAACAUAUCAUCAUUUUUUAAUCGAAUACCAAUUAAAAAUCCAGAUAAAAUUCAUAGAUUAAUUAAAUUCUUAGGCCACUAAAAACCCCCGUAGUCCUAGCUGUAAACGAUGCCUGCUAGACAUUGGCAAUCUCAAGGGGGUUGCCAGAGUCAUAGGGAAACCGUUAAGCAGGCCGCCUGGGGAGUACGGUCGCAAGGCUGAAACUUAAGGGAAUUGGCGGGGGAGCACACAAGGGGUGGAGGCUGCGGUUCAAUUCGAUUCAACGCGAGGAACCUCACCAGGAGCGACAGCAGAAUGAAGGUCAGGCUGAAGGUCUUACCAGACAAGCUGAGCGGAGGUGCAUGGCCGUCGUCAGUUCGUGCUGUGAAGUGUCGAGUUAAGUCUCGAAACGAACAAGACCCGCGCCCUAUGUUGCAACUGUAUCUUUUGAUGCAGGCACUCAUAGGGGACCGCUGGUGAUGAAUCAGAGGAAGGGGCGGUCGACGGCAGGUCAGUAUGCUCUUAAUCCCCUGGGUUACACCAGGUUUGCAAGUUGAUAAUCGAGCUUCAGUCAGCAGUAUUGCUAUAAAAUAUUGCUGUAAUAGUGUUGUCAAAUUUUUGACAAAAUCAAAAAAGCUCGUAAUUUGCAAGCUUGGAACCAAACGCGGCCUACAAUGACUGGGACAAUGAGAUGCGACUCCGAAAGGAAGAGCUAAUCUCCAAACCCAGCCCUAAUUCGGAUUGAGGACUGCAACUCGUCCUCAUGAAGGCGAAAUCCCUAGUAGUCGCUGGUCACCAACAGUUUGACAAAUUUUAUAUUUGUCUUUCUGGUGGACUCUAGCGGCGAAUAUGUUCCUGCUCCUUGCACACACUGCCCGUCAAGCCAACCGAGUGGAAUUAUGACGAGCUCUUGCUUCUUGGCAAGAUCAAGUUAUAGUUUUGUGAGGUGGGCUAAGUCGUAAGACUGUGAGAUGGGCAAUUUGAUGCGCUAAC